AUUGAACGCUGGCGGCAUGCCUUACACAUGCAAGUCGAACGGUAACGGGCCUUCGGGUGCCGACGAGUGGCGCACGGGUGAGUAAUACAUCGGAACGUGCCCGAUCGUGGGGGAUAACGAGGCGAAAGCUUUGCUAAUACCGCAUACGAUCUACGGAUGAAAGCAAGGGACCGCAAGGCCUUGCGCGGACGGAGCGGCCGAUGGCAGAUUAGGUAGUUGGUGGGAUAAAAGCUUACCAAGCCGACGAUCUGUAGCUGGUCUGAGAGGAUGAUCAGCCACACUGGGACUGAGACACGGCCCAGACUCCUACGGGAGGCAGCAGUGGGGAAUUUUGGACAAUGGGCGCAAGCCUGAUCCAGCCAUGCCGCGUGCAGGAUGAAGGCCUUCGGGUUGUAAACUGCUUUUGUACGGAACGAAAAGCCUUCUUUUAAUACAGGAGGGUCAUGACGGUACCGGAAGAAUAAGCACCGGCUAACUACGUG
rnacentral:rRNA from 1 species